AGAGUUUGAUCCCGGCUCAGAAUCAACGCUGGCGGCGCGCUUAACACAUGCAAGUCGAACGGGAAAGUGGAGCAAUCCAUGAGUACAGUGGCGUACGGGUGAGUAACACGUGGGUAAUCUACCUCUUAGUGGGGAAUAACCCUGGGAAACCGGGGCUAAUACCGCAUAAGCCUGAGAAGGGAAAGCAGCAAUGCGCUGAGAGAGGAGCCCGCGGCCGAUUAGCUAGUUGGCAGGGUAAAAGCCUACCAAGGCAAAGAUCGGUAGCCGGCCUGAGAGGGCACACGGCCACACUGGCACUGAAACACGGGCCAGACUCCUACGGGAGGCAGCAGUGGGGAAUCUUGCACAAUGGGGGAAACCCUGAUGCAGCGACGCCGCGUGAGCGAUGAAGCCCUUCGGGGUGUAAAGCUCUUUCGGCAGGAACGAUAAUGACGGUACCUGAAGAAGAAGCUGCGGCUAACUACGUGCCAGCAGCCGCGGUAAUACGUAGGCAGCGAGCGUUGUUCGGAGUUACUGGGCGUAAAGGGUGUGUAGGCGGUUCUUUAAGUUUGGUGUGAAAUCUCCCGGCUCAACUGGGAGGGUGCGCCGAAGACUGCAGGGCUUGAGUAUGGGAGAGGUAAGCGGAAUUCCUGGUGUAGCGGUGAAAUGCGUAGAUAUCAGGAGGAACACCGGUGGUGUAGACGGCUUUCUGGACCGUAACUGACGCUGAGACACGAAAGCGUGGGUAGCAAACAGGAUUAGAUACCCUGGUAGUCCACGCCCUAAACGAUGCAUAUUUGGUGUGGGCAGUUCAUUCUGUCCGUGCCGGAGCUAACGCGUUAAAUAUGCCGCCUGGGGAGUACAGUCGCAAGGCUGAAACUCAAAGGAAUUGACGGGGGCCCGCACAAGCGGUGGAGCAUGUGGUUCAAUUCGACGCAACGCGA
rnacentral:rRNA from 1 species